ACGCUCGACACCUACGGAGGCAGCAGUGGGGAAUAUUGCACAAUGGGGGGAACCCUGAUGCAGCGACGCCGCGUGAGUGAAGAAGUACUUCGGUAUGUAAAGCUCUAUCAGCAGGGAAGAAAAUGACGGUACCUGACUAAGAAGCCCCGGCUAACUACGUGCCAGCAGCCGCGGUAAUCUGAGGCGGGCUGGCAAGGC
rnacentral:rRNA from 1 species